CGGAGGCCAUUGCUAUUGGGAUCCGAUUUAGCCAUGCUAGUCGCACGAGUUCAGACUCGUGGCGAAUAGCUCAGUAACACGUGGCCAAACUACCCUUCGGAACACAAUACCCUCGGGAAACUGAGGCUAAUAGUGUAUACCAUACCACCACUGGAAUGAGUGGUAUGCCAAACGCUCCGGCGCCGAAGGAUGUGGCUGCGGCCGAUUAGGUAGACGGUGGGGUAACGGCCCACCGUGCCAAUAAUCGGUAUGGGUCAUGAGAGUGAGAACCCAGAGACGGAAUCUGAGACAAGAUUCCGGGCCCU
rnacentral:rRNA from 53 species